CGAACGCUGGCGGCGUGGAUUAGGCAUGCAAGUCGAACGAUCCGGCACGCAAGUGACGGAUAGUGGCGAAAGGGUGAGUAAUACGUGGGUAAUCUGCCCUCGAGACGGGGAUAACCUCGGGAAACCGGGGCUAAUACCGGAUGAAAUCAGGUACCCGCAUGGGUAACUGAUUAAAGGUGCCCGAAAGGGCGCCACUCAAGGAUGAGCUCGCGUCCUAUUAGCUUGUUGGUAGGGUAACGGCCUACCAAGGCAAUGAUGGGGAGCCGGCCUAAGAGGGUGGUCGGCCACACUGGGACUGAGACACUGCCCAGACUCCUACGGGAGGCUGCAGUCGAGAAUUUUCCGCAAUGGGCGAAAGCCUGACGGAGCGACGCCGCGUGGAGGAUGAAGGCCUUCGGGUCGUAAACUCCUGUCAGCUCGGAUGAAAGUCUGCUUCUUGUAGACUGACAGUACGGGCAGAGGAAGCUCCGGCUAACUCCGUG
rnacentral:rRNA from 1 species